ACAACCUGCCCUUCAUGGAGAGCUUGCAUCUGAUCUCUCUAGUCAGCCACCUUGAACUGGUCUGCAGUGGGACCUGAGACUUCGCAUUUCUAAUAAGCUCUGGUUGAUGCAGAUGCUGUUGGCCUGGGGACCACACUUUGAGGAGCAGGGCUUUAAAGAUGUGAUUUCUUUGAAUAGGCCACCUCUGUUUUCUGCUUCAGGUUAACAGACUGAGAAACCAAACCCUCUGCCUACAGUUUAUGAAAGAAAGAAGAAGUUACUGAAGUUACAGAAGUUACUGAAAGAAAGUUGACUGAAGAAAGAAUGGGAUAGACCAACACAGGGAUGGCCCAGAAUGCAAGUGGAAGAGGAGCCUCUCCCUUGUUCUGAGGCACUGUUUGAUAUUACG
rnacentral:lncRNA from 13 species